AGCUCCAAUAGCGUAUAUUAAAGUUGUUGCAGUUAAAAAGCUCGUAGUUGAAUUUCGGAGGAGAGAUCUCGGUCUAGGUUCGCCUUGUACUGAGACGCUCGAAUCUUUUUUCUGGGGAAGCGCGGUGUCCUUCACUGGGCGUCUCGGGGAACCAGGACGAUUACCUUGAGAAAAAUAGAGUGUUCAAAGCAGGCUUUUGCUUGGAUACGUUAGCAUGGAAUAAUAAAAUAGGACUUUGGUUCUAUUUUGUUGGUUUUAAGGACCAAUGUCAUGAUGAAUAGGGACAGUUGGGGGCAUUCGUAUUCCGAAGCUAGAGGUGAAAUUCUUGGAUUUUCGGAAGACGAACUACUGCGAAAGCAUUUGCCAAGGAUGUUUUCA
rnacentral:rRNA from 1 species